GACCGGUACGGGAAGGAAGUGCGAUUAAGAAAUAGCGAUCCGUGGAGUGAGGAACCGGUUGACAAACUCUAGAACCAUGCGACGGAGGAAAUUCUUUUUUACUCGUGUACAGAAGAGGAAACGCAAUUAUCAGCCGCGCGCUUGGCACCCUGCAUGAGAGGCGGUGGAACAAGGUUGAAAAACUGCCAAAAAAUGACGAUGCACUGCGCCUGCAACUGGAAAUAGACGGUGCCAUGGAGAAAGUGAGGGAUAGCUUGCAAGAAAC